rnacentral:lncRNA from 1 species
GCCAGUUUGAGCCCCAGAGCAAGAUUGUCGGCACGCCUCCGAAAGCACCAGACCUUUUCACUUUAGAAAUCCCGAAGUGGAACAAGCAAAAUAAGGUCAGAAAGGAGAAAGGGUCGCAUGUUCUUGGCACUCUAGUCUAGGAACUCAACAAGAAGCAGGAUUAAAACACAUGGCAAUGUAAAAGUUUUUUCAGUGUUUGAGGCCAAGUGGAAGGUCUUGAUUUCACCCUUUCAUAUUUUUCUUUUUAAUUUCCUAACAUAGCAAUGGUCCACUUUAUGCUUUGAAUAUAGAACUUGCUGCUCUGUUACUACAAUUUAUUUUUUAAAUGGACAAGUUUCUUUCUCUCUCUCUCUCUCCCUCCCCCCCUCCCCUUGCUCCUCCCUGAUCUCUCCCCCUCCCUAAUCUCAGGGGAAACAAGAUUACAUUUCUUCCCCAUCCUAGGCGGAAUUAUCUGUCCUUGAGCAGUCACCCACCAUAGGAAUGUAGUAAUCCAGACUUCAGGGAUGGCACCAGAAGAUCUCAGAGAUGACUAUCUCCCAAAUUAACAAGUUAAUUAAAAUUCCAACAGAGAACACAUGGAAUGUAGCCUUUGAAUCACCUCUUUAACCACCCCCCCCUCCACACACACACACACACACACACACACACACACACACGGGUUCCUGCUAAUGGGCAGAACCACAGCCUCUGGGAUAGGAGUCCCCUGUGUUUCUCCUUUGCUAGCAAAGCAAUAAAUCUUUUUCCUUUUUAUCAAAACCAUGUGCUGGUUAUUGGAUUGGCACUGGGGACAAGGACAGAGCUUUAGACCUUCAUGAAUUUAGGUUCUCUUUAGAGAAUUUAUUAAUUGGGCAAAUUUGUCUUAUCCAAUAUGACAUGCAACAAUAAGGUAAUAAUUAGUCAUGGAACUCCUUGCUGCUCCCAAGAAUUCAACCCCUUCCUGCCUGUAACAGCAAUGGUUCCUAAUAUACCUUUGCCUUAAAACUGAAAACCACAGCUUUUAUGUCAUGUAUACAUCAUAGUUCUAAUUACAAAGUUGUUUUAUUUUUAAAUUAUUUUCUAUAUGGAAUAUAUUCUAUUUGCUGAAUAUAAAAUUUUUGACAUUAAUAACAAUUAUUUAUAAUUGUAUACUAAGUUAUUGAUGGGGCCCAAAUAAAUCUUUGCAACUAUAUUAAAUCUCACCACUAAUGUGUUGGAUGUGCUUUUUUUUUUUUUUUUGUGGUGCUGGGGAUUGAACCCAUGGCCUUGUGCAUGUGAGGCAAGCACUCUACCAAAUGAGUUAUAUCCCCCCAGCAGGGAUGUGCUUUUUAUUACUUAGAGUAGAAUAUUAAAAUUAUUUUUCUCUCUUUCUAAAUAAUGUAAUAAAGAAUUAAAGUCAGCUUACUAUAAUAGUACAUGCAUACUGUUAUGGUUAGAUUUUAGGUGUCCCCCAAAAGUUCAUGUGUGAGACAAUGCAAGAAAUUUCAGAGGUGAACUGAUUGGAUUAUAAGAGCUUUAACCAAAUCAGUGCAUUAAUUAAUCCACUUGAAUGAAUAAACCGAGUGCCAACUAUAGGCAGGUUGAGUGUGGCUGGAGGAGGUAGAUCAUUGGGAGUGUGCCUUCAGGUUUAUGUUUUGUCCUUGUUGAGUAAAGCACUGUGCCAGCUCGCUCUCUCUCUCUCUCUUCCUCUCCCUCUCCCUCUCCCUCUCCCUCUCCUUCUCUGCUUCCUAGUGGCAUUUCCCCUGUUACUUUCCUCCAACAGAUUCUUCUGCCAUGAUGUUCUGCCUCCCCUUGAGCCCAGAGGAAUGGAGCCAGCUAUCUAUGAACUGAGACAUCUGAAACCAUGAGCCCACAGUUGACUAAACACAUACCCAUGUAUGUGUGUGUAUACAUAUAUCACAAUUCACAACAGCCAAACUGUGGAAGCCUAGGUGUCCAUCAAUGGAUGAAUGGAUAAACAAAAUAUUCAGCCAUAAAGAAGAAUAAAUUGCCGCAGUCUGGCUGGGCACAAAAUCAUGAGCCACUACACAGCUUGUAGAUUCAAACAGCAACUCUUUAUUCCCGAACUCACACCAGCCGUCUACAAUCACGUUCUGGAGAAAUCCACGUUCUCUGCCCAAAUCCACACCCACUGGGCUUCUGUCUCCCAAAAAAUACUGUCUGAAUCCCGUGAGAACUCAAGGGGAACUCCAGCAGCAGGAUACGCCCUAUUCCCAGCAGGAAUAACCUUAAACCUGGAACCACCCUAAACCCGGAUUGUCCUAAACCGGGAACGCCCUAAACCCAGAUCCGCCCUGGUCCUUGAGCAAGGUCACCUACAUGCAAUGUCACUGCAAAAUGUCCUAUUUCCACGAGUCCUUCCACUAAGCAACAUGGGGUACGCUGGCAAGGAAAUUGUCAUACCUACUUGGCUAAUGACUCCCAGCAAUAAAUUAUGUCAUUUUCAAGAAAAUGGAUGAGGGCUCGGGAUGUGGCUCAAGUGGUAGCGCACUUGCCUGGCAUGCGUGAGGCACUG